GGCUCAGGACGAACGCUGGCGGCGUGCCUAAUACAUGCAAGUCGAGCGAAUCGAUGGGAGCUUGCUCCCUGAGAUUAGCGGCGGACGGGUGAGUAACACGUGGGCAACCUGCCUAUAAGACUGGGAUAACUUCGGGAAACCGGAGCUAAUACCGGAUACGUUCUUUUCUCGCAUGAGAGAAGAUGGAAAGACGGUUUCGGCUGUCACUUAUAGAUGGGCCCGCGGCGCAUUAGCUAGUUGGUGAGGUAAUGGCUCACCAAGGCGACGAUGCGUAGCCGACCUGAGAGGGUGAUCGGCCACACUGGGACUGAGACACGGCCCAGACUCCUACGGGAGGCAGCAGUAGGGAAUCUUCCGCAAUGGACGAAAGUCUGACGGAGCAACGCCGCGUGAACGAAGAAGGCCUUCGGGUCGUAAAGUUCUGUUGUUAGGGAAGAACAAGUACCAGAGUAACUGCUGGUACCUUGACGGUACCUAACCAGAAAGCCACGGCUAACUACGUGCCAGCAG
rnacentral:rRNA from 2 species